GAGAGUUACACACGUUGCGUCGAUCGAACAUCACUUUAACGACGCCACGUGAAAAUGGUGCGGAACCCGAUGCUUUUGUGCACGUGAAUCAGAGCCUGUAAUUUCACGAAUCGGGUGUCCUACAUGCAUACGAUCGUAUAUAUAUAUAUGCGUAUAUCGUAUGCGCGUAAAGGAAGAUAAAGGGAAAGAAAAAAGAUAGAAAAAGGAAUUAUCGCGGAAGAGAUUCGUUUAAAUCGAGUCCGAUUGGAAUUCGUCCGAUGAUUAAAGCGACGCGGAAAACGAUUGGCGACGAAGGUGCUGCGUGUCAGUUUUCAGAACUGGCUGGAGAAUAGCAGAUGAUAUACACCGACCUGCCAUACUUUCCAGUUCUCACGAAACCCUAAUGCGCUAAUCGAUAUAAUCGAUAAGGGGUAUUUGAAAGAGAAUCACCAGAGGAUACGAAGGGUCAAAUAAAUUUUAUCAAUUACAAACAUUAUUAUUGAUUCAAAUUCACGUCGCGGCGAGCGAGUAAGUAUCAUUGAUUAAUAUCGUCCACCUUGAGAAACGAGAUUGAUCGUCGUUAUUAUUAAUUCAAAAUUCAUUACAUGCUAAUAUUCUGGUCUAUUACGUAUGUUGUCGUUUAUAACGAUACUGGUGUGGUCUCGUAAGAGACACGACAAACAUCAUCGCCAUUUAACGUAAUUAUUUCAACACAUUCAACACAUUCGUAUAUAUAAUGCUCAUUUUAUAAUUGAUCGAACAUUUUAUUCGUGUGUAUACGGUGUUUAUUAUUUAUUACACUGUAUUAUUUAAAUUUUAUUUUCUUUGGUAAACCCCUAAUAACAUUUGUGAAUCGCGCUUUAAAUGAAAACGAAAAGCGAAAGGUAUAACGGUAGAAAAUUAAAUACGUAACCAGCUUAUGAAAAUGGAAACUAGAAAGAACGAUUGACACUUACCAGCAAUCCGUAAGACGGCUCUGUCAGCAGGAUCGAGCUGCAGGAUACUCAACGGUUUAUCCUUUACCCAUUCCUUCAAGCUUCCGUCCAGCUCGAACUCCAUCCUCUAAAACUGUUGAUUGAAACUUCUUUUUUUUUUUUUACACCAUAUUCGUGCAACUCUUCUUUUGCUCGGCACUGUUUCACAACCACUUGGCAAUUUCACAACCGCGACACACAAAGAGCUUCUAAGUAUUACGUCGUUUUCGUUCAAUAGAGUUCGCGAGGCAGUGGCGAAUAGUGCACCGAACUAAGUCGUCGUGUUAUCGACAGCAGGCAUUUGGCAACUUUACACACAAUAUUAGACACGACAUCCUCGUUACCGGUCUCUUCCUCCCUGAUUUAGAUUUCACUAAUGAUGUUUUCUUUCUCUUCUUUUCUCUACUUCGAAAUUAAUAGUUUUAUAGUCGAAAAUAGUUUCAGCCGAACGAAAAGCACGUGGAACCCGUAUACAUGCCGCGCGUUUAUUUAUUGUACACGACUCUGCUGUAGGGUAGAGUAACGUACCACGGCGUAGAAGUGCACGAACUGCACCGGCGUAACGGAAGGAAGAGAGGUGGCAAGGAGACGACGAACAGGGAAAGCGUACGCGAUGUCUGGCGUCCUUUUGACGAUACACGCCAAUACGUACAACAGUUGCUUAGCCAGCAACGUAACGUGCUUCCAGCACGCCGAUAAUCAGCAAUACUUCGUAUCUUUGUCGUCAGCGGCGCUUAGGUCAAGUUAGAUUUGGUUGAAAAUGGACAAAUCAGAUUCGACUUCUCUCAAUUGCAGUCUUCAAUUCCCGUUGUUGCUUGUAUAUUUUGUGCCACAAAUCGAAGAUUUUUCAAUAUUUCAUUCGUCAAAAUUCCUUAAGUUUAAUUCCACCCUCAUUAUCCUCGAUACUAUCUUCCAUUUGCAACAUUCUAUAAAUAUAAAUAUAAACAACAUAUUCUUAAUUUUUUCUUUUUUCUUUCCUAAAAAAUAAAAUAAUUAUAAAUUGUACAAAAAUAAUUGGUUUUUGAAAUAAUUGAAAUAACUAAAAGACUGAAAAACAAAAACGUGUUCGAAGGAGACGAAAGAAAAAUUGCAUAAAUAUUUUAGUCGCAUAAAUAUUAAAUCGAAUUAUUGUGGAGAAAGUAAUAUUUCUUGUUAUAUAGCGCUUUCUAAAUAUGUUCAGAAUAUGAUUAAAUUUCAUUUAGUAGUCAAAUGUUAAUUGUAAUAAUAAUGUAACAAUAUUAUUCUUAAUUUAAAUGCGUUUUAAAUGCAAAUAUCACAGUGCAAAAAAUAAAUCAAGAGAGAUCUGAUACAAAGAACCGGAAGCGGAUGUGGCAACAUUCAAGUCGAACUAAUUCUCUGGCAACGUUAAAAAAUUGAAAUGUAAAUUCUUCGAUAUAUAAAUCGUUUUAUUUCUUUAUACAUAUCUCUGCUAAAAUUAAAGAAAUAUCUAUA